GGUCAAGCAAACAAGUGCAUGUGGUGGAUGCCUUGGCGAUCACAGGCGAUGAAGGACGCGGUAGUCUGCGAAAAGCGAUGGGGAGCUGGCAAACAAGCUUUGAUCCAUCGAUAUCCGAAUGGGGAAACCCACUCCGUAUGGAGUACCCUUGACUGAAUACAUAGGUCAUGUGGAGCGAACGCGGUGAACUGAAACAUCUAAGUAACCGCAGGAAAAGAAAUCAACCGAGAUUCCCAAAGUAGUGGCGAGCGAAAUGGGAUGAGCCUGUACUCUUUAUUCUUAUUGUUAGCUGAACGCUCUGGAAAGUGCGGCCAUAGCAGGUGAUAGCCCUGUAAGCGAAAACAGUAGGGAAGAACUAGGUGUACGACAAGUAGGGCGGGACACGUGAAAUCCUGUCUGAAGAUGGGGGGACCCUCCUCCAAGGCUAAAUACUCGUGAUCGACCGAUAGUGAACCAGUACCGUGAGGGAAAGGCGAAAAGAACCCCGGGAGGGGAGUGAAAUAGAUCCUGAAACCGCAUGCAUACAAACAGUCGGAGCCUCGUAAGGGGUGACGGCGUACCUUUUGUAUAAUGGGUCAGCGACUUACGUUCAGUAGCGAGCUUAACUGAUUAAGGCAGGCGUAGCGAAAGCGAGUCCGAAUAGGGCGAUCAGUUGCUGGGCGUAGACCCGAAACCAAGUGAUCUAUCCAUGGCCAGGUUGAAGGUGCGGUAACACGUACUGGAGGACCGAACCCACUAACGUUGAAAAGUUAGGGGAUGAGCUGUGGAUAGGGGUGAAAGGCUAAACAAACUUGGAAAUAGCUGGUUCUCUCCGAAAACUAUUUAGGUAGUGCCUCGUGUCUCACCUUCGGGGGUAGAGCACUGUCAUGGUUGUGGGGUCCAUUGCGGAUUACUAGGCCAUAGCAAACUCCGAAUACCGAAGAGUGUAAUCACGGGAGACAGACAUCGGGUGCUAACGUCCGGUGUCAAGAGGGAAACAACCCAGACCGCCAGCUAAGGUCCCCAAGAUUGGCUAAGUGGGAAACGAAGUGGGAAGGCUAAAACAGUCAGGAGGUUGGCUUAGAAGCAGCCACCCUUUAAAGAAAGCGUAAUAGCUCACUGAUCGAGUCGUCCUGCGCGGAAGAUGUAACGGGGCUCAAGCCAGUCACCGAAGCUGCGGAUGCACACGCAAGUGUGUGUGGUAGGAGAGCGUUCCGUAAGCCUGCGAAGGUGUGUCGAAAGGCAUGCUGGAGGUAUCGGAAGUGCGAAUGCUGACAUGAGUAGCGAUAAAGGGGGUGAAAAGCUCCCUCGCCGUAAGCCCAAGGUUUCCUACGCAACGUUCAUCGGCGUAGGGUGAGUCGGCCCCUAAGGCGAGGCAGAAAUGCGUAGCUGAUGGGAAGCAGGUCAAUAUUCCUGCACCAUUGUUAGAUGCGAUGGGGGGACGGAUCGCGGAAGGUUGUCCGGGUGUUGGACGUCCCGGUCGCUGCAUUGGAGAAGGCGCUUAGGCAAAUCCAGGCGCGCAAUUCAAGGGUGUGGCGCGAGUGACUUCGGUCACGAAGCAAUUGGAAGUGGUUCCAAGAAAAGCCUCUAAGCUUCAGUCUAACAAGACCGUACCGCAAACCGACACAGGUGGGCGAGAUGAGUAUUCUAAGGCGCUUGAGAGAACUCGGGAGAAGGAACUCGGCAAAUUGGUACCGUAACUUCGGGAUAAGGUACGCCUCUGUAGCUUGACUGGCCUGCGCCAGAAGGGUGAAGAGGUUGCAAUAGACUGGUGGCUGCGACUGUUUAAUAAAAACACAGCACUCUGCAAACACGAAAGUGGACGUAUAGGGUGUGACGCCUGCCCGGUGCCGGAAGAUUAAAUGAUGGGGUUCAAGCUCUUGAUUGAAGUCCCGGUAAACGGCGGCCGUAACUAUAACGGUCCUAAGGUAGCGAAAUUCCUUGUCGGGUAAG
rfam:Candidatus Burkholderia brachyanthoides strain TZHbot7 BRCHctg295, whole genome shotgun sequence.